GGGCGUAUGGUGUAGUGGUAUCACUCAUGCUUUGCAAUCGAACGAUCAAUCCGACUAUCUGUAUGCGGUCCAGGGUUCAAACCCCUGUGCGUCCA